GAUGAAGAACGCAGCGAAAUGCGAUAAGUAAUGUGAAUUGCAGAAUUCCGUGAAUCAUCGAAUCUUUGAACGCACAUUGCGCCCGCCAGUAUUCUGGCGGGCAUGCCUGUUCGAGCGUCAUUACAACCCUCAGGCCCCCGGGCCUGGCGUUGGGGAUCGGCGGAAGCCCCCUGCGGGCACAACGCCGUCCCCCAAAUACAGUGGCGGUCCCGCCGCAGCCUCCAUUGCGUAGUAGCUAACACCUCGCAACUGGAGAGCGGCGCGGCCACGCCGUAAAACACCCAACUUCUGAAUGUUGACCUCGAAUCAGGUAGGAAUACCCGCUGAACUUAAGCAUAUCAAUAAGCGGAGGA
rnacentral:misc_RNA from 1 species